AGGCUUCACAUUUGCUUCUGUUAAUCACCUGGGAACACAUACAGGCUUUAGAGCACUUUAGAAACAUAAUUGGAAUUUUACUGGACCACUUAAAUGAUGAUAAUUUGGUUGAAAACCCACAUGAGGGCUAGCUUAUGGUUAUAAAAUUCAUGACAGUUCCCAUGUUUAUGGAUUGGAGGAAUUAAUAUUGCUAAAAUGCCCCUACUACCAAAAGUAAUCCACAGAUUCAAUGCAAUCCCCAUCAAGGUUCCAGUGGCAUUUUUCACAGAAGUAUAGAAAACAAUCCUAAAAUUUAAAUGGGACACAAAAGGCCUCAAAUAGCCAAAGCAAUUCUGAGAGAACAAAGUAGGAGGCAUCACACUUCUGAUUUCAAGCUAUACUAUAAAGCUGAGAACAGUACUAGCAGAAAAAGAGACAAACAGACCAAUGGAAGAGAAUUGAGUUUAUCAACUAAUAUUUGACAAGGGAGCCAAGAAUACUCGAAAAAAGACAGUUUGUUCAAUAAUGGUGCUGGGGGUGGGGGGGUACUUGGAUAGUUAAGUCAGUGAAGCAUCUAACUCUUGAUUUUGGCUCAGGUCAUGACUUCAUGAUUCAUAGUUUUUAGCCCCAUGUUGGGCUUUGCACUGACAGCACGGAGCCUGCUUGGAAUUCUCUCUCCUGUCUUUCUGCCCCUCCUCCCACUCUCUCUCAAAAUAAAUAAGUAAACAAAAUAAAUAAAUAAUGGUGCUGGGAAAACUGGAUAUUCACAUGUAAAAAAAAAAAAAAAAGAAAGAAACUAGACCCUGUCCGGCACCACUCACAAAAAUUAACUUGAAAUCAAUUAAAGGCUUAAAUAUAACACCUGAAACCAUGAAACUCUUAGAAGAAAACAUAGGAACAAAGCUCCUUGACAUGGGUCUUGGCAUUGGUUUUUUGGAUAUGACACCUAAAACACAAGCAACAAAAUCAAAAAUAAAUAAGUGGGAUUACAUCAAACUAAAAAGCUGCACAACAAACAAAACCAUUGACGAGGUGAAAAGACAACCUGCAGAAUGGGAAAAAAUAUUUGCAACCGUAUAUCUGAUAAGGGAUUAAUAUCCAAAACAUAUAACUCAUUAGCAUAAAAAACAGUCCAAUUAAAAAUGAACAAAAGACCUAAUUAGGCAUUUUUUCCAAAGAAGAUAUAUAAAGGGCCAACAGGUAUAUGAAAAGAUACUCAACAUUACUAGGCAUUAGGUGGAAGCAGAUCAAAACCACACAGGGAUAUCACUUCAUACCUGUUAAAGUGGCCGUCAUCAAAAAAGAUAAUAAAUAAAUGCUGGUGAGGGAACCCUUGUAUAUUGUUCGGAUUAUAAACUGGCACAGCCACUAUGGAAAACAGUAUGGAAGAUCCUCAAAAAUUUAAAAAUAGAAUUACCAUAUGAUCCAGUAAUUCCACUUCUGGAAAUAUGUCCAGAAUACAUGAAAACACUAACUCAAAAGGAUGUCUGCACCCUCAUGUUUCUAGAACCAUUAUGUACAAUAGCUAAGACAUAGAAACAACCUAAGUGUCCACCAACAGACAAAUAGAUGAAGAAGCUGUGGUCUAUAUACACAAUGGAAUAUUAUUCAGUCAUAAAAAAGGAAAUGCUGUCAUUGCAACAACGUGGAUGAAACUUGAGGGCAUUAUGCUAAGUGAAAUAAGACAGACAAAGACAAAUACUGUAUGGUCUCACUCCUAUGUGGAAUCUUAAAAAGUGUUCAUAGAGGGAGAUAUUUUUUUAUUCUCCAUUCAUAGCCCAAGUUUAAGAUUUUUUCCUUGAGUGGACCCUGGACUUUGUCCCCUAUCCCCUGUGCCACUAAGAAGUACAUGAAAACCAAAGCUCAAAUUCACCCCCAUCAUAGGGCAAAUGCUUUCAAAGUAAAAACUGCUUACCAUUGAGGGUUCCCAGUUUUCCUUAGGUUUAGGCCUCUGUGUAUUCCCCACCAACUAGCCAAUACACUGAUGGAUUUGCGAAGAUAUCUGUCAUUUUCUGUCCAGCAUUUUUAGUUGCUUACUGAGAGAGGUUCCAGGUUCAUCAUAGCAGGAAACAGUAGUCAGGACUGAAUGUUAUUAAAUGUGUACACAUACACACCCACACACACACACACAGAUAUAAUUGCACUGCUAAUAAAAUUUUCUGAAUUUAGUUCCAAAUUUAGUAUCACUUGUAUACAUGAUUAAAAUGAGUAGAUAAUAAAUUUACUUUCCAAGAUCCAUAAUUGCAGCUCUUUGUCCCCACCAGUAACUACAAGCAGUUUUUCAUUAAAGAAAAGAAAAUGAUUGAAUAAUCCAAAUUAGCCUGGGCAAGAAAACUAACAGCUGCUUAAAAUGAAAUGUUUGAGUUAUGAGCCAUGUGCCACUUUGGUUUAUCUGCAGCCAAAAGGUUUAGAAUCCUUAUUCAAUUAACCAUGUUGCUUGGGAGGGCCUGGUUGCCCUGAAUAAGAGCUGCCUGGUGAUGAGUAAGAGGUAUUUGUGACACACAAGUUCAGACCUUGCAACUCUGUUUUUGUUGUUUGAACUUUCUUCUCCGUUGUAGCUAGGGAUCCGGCAUGGAAUUUAAACACUUGUGUGGUAACUCCAUUCCUUCAGCCAUUGUGUUGUUAAGCUCUAGCUAACGAACUUUUAACACUGGCUUGAUGUAAAGCAAGACUGAGAAAAUAGCCCCCAACAACAUUUCUGGUUUUAUAAUUAAAAACUAUAUGAUUUCUGUGUCUUUAAGAAGUAAGAUGCUCAUGCCUGUGGAGUCCAGCUGUUCCCCCAAAAGUAACCUUCCUAAUAUGUGUGAAAAAUAAAUAAACCAAGGUGCAUCUAAGAAAGCUGAAAUUAAGAAAUGACUUACAUUUCAAAAAUCAUACCUCCUGUAACAGAAACUCCAACAUGCAUACCUGUAUUAAAACUUAGGAACUUUGCCUAAAAUAAAGGAAACAAACUUAUGUAACAUUUGGAAAGGUGAGUAUUGCUAAACAUACCGGUCAAGUAUACUUUGUCUCAUGUGGCCCUUUUCUUCCAGGCCAACAGUUUUUGUUGCCUAGGGAGAUCCUCCUGAUAAUGUCACAAAGAAUGUUUCUCAGACCCAUAUAGAUUGUGUACAUGUCGGCUUGCUAAAGACAAGUUUUGAUUUUAAGUCUCUAAGCUUCAGUUUGUUUCUAAGCAUACUGUUUGAAACAAAAAACAGGUGAAUAGAUGAGAGAAGACAAUUUUUCUCCCACUCAUCAACCACUUCUGAAGAUGAUUCUGGCUGAGAAAAUUUAAAUACAGUUUGAAUAAUGAUAUGUAAUUUGACAUAAAAUGUCUCAGAAUUUGAAGAAUUACUUUGAAGAAUUACUAUCCACUUGAACAUACACACUGAUUUCUGAUGUUUUACGUCACAAUCUUUUCAUGUUACAAAAUUAAAUUUGCUUUUUGCAUCUUAUUUUCUUCAACUGCAGUCAUAUUAUAAAGCACAGUUGUAUACUUUCAUUUAGGUGACAUGAAGACAUCUUUUCAUUUAAGUUAAUACCUAAUCUUGUUUGUCAAAUAGAAGCAAAGAAACACCUUUGAAAUCAGCAGUUUCAAUUAAAACUUCAGUCAUAUCAAAAUAAUCAUUUUAUUUCUGUGUUUAUAAAAAAUGCAACAGCUGAUCAGGAAGUACAGCUAUAUCGCAGACUGAAAUUUUAAAUGUUGCAGAUAUUAUUGUCUUUCAGUUGCGGUAAGACAAACAGUGGUUUUAUUAUUUCAAGAAUCAAAGAAUGAACCGUAUGUGUACUGUUUUGUUUGGGUUGUUUGUUUUUUAGAUUUUUUAGGAAAGUUUUCUGGUUCCAUAUUAGAUUAAAAAAAAAAAAACAACCAAUUGACCAAAUCAUACCUGGAAACUCGGGCACAUUAUUUUGUUUUCAUAUGGAUGGCAAGAAAAUUAGUAGAAUUGACUUUCUUUCAUACUAAUACCUUUGACCUGUGCUCCAAGCCUACUCUCCAUUUCAGUUCCUACCCUAUAUUUUCAUUAUUGAAUUCAUUUACCAUUUUUAAGCCUCUACUCAGUCAAAUCCACCUUAGUGUGUUUAAAUCCAAUUCAUCCUUCAAGAAUACUUAUACGCCACCCCCGACAUGAAGCUUUCCCUAAUUCCCCACCCUAACCUCACCACCAAGCCACAGUUAAUCUCUCUUCUAUAUGCCUCAUAGCUCUGUCUUCAUCCGUAUUAGGGGAGUUAUUAGUAUUCCUGUAUAGUAUUCCUGUACUAUCUCCCAUUACAAUGCAGCUUCUCCAGGUCAGAGAUUGUCCAUAUUUCUCUGCACAGGUAAAAUACUUGGUAAAUAGUCAGUCUUGUUAAUGACAAAAACUAAAUCUUCCAACUGUAUUGUUUUAUAAACAUUUGUGUGAUGUGUCUUUUAAUAAAAGAUGAAGAUUUGAGUGUCAUUUCCCAAAACAGUGGUGUUAAAAUACAUUAGCAUGUCAAAAUAUUUAGCACUUGGCAUAUUAUCAGGUGAAACGUGCUCAUCUGAAGACUUUAACUUUUAACCAUAAUAAGUUUAAAGUGAAGAGUUUCGGUUUUUUGUGUUGUUUGUUUGAUUUUGAUUAGGUUUGGUUUUUUAAGCAGAAUUUCUUGUGUAACUGUCAAAUGUUGGUCCCUGUAAAGUUGAAAUCUCACUCUAUGAUAAAGUGAAGACAUGGUUCCAUUGUCUUGGAAAGUUUAAACAAAAUUUCCAGACCCCAAAAUAGGCCAUUUAAUUCUUUAUUGAACAACGCUAAUAACUAAAUUGCUUUCUGGAAUCAAGGGUAUCAAAAAUCAAAGAGAGAGAAUGCAAGCAAUGUAUAAACCAAUGUGUGUUUGGAUGUCUUUUGAUAUUGCUGUGAUGUACUUUAAAUCAUGAUUUCAAAUUCAUUGAUUCUUCAUUUCCAAAAAGUAAAAUUUCCUAAAUUCUGAUUAUUUUGAUAAAUUUUCUUGUUAUUUUACUUUCUAGUUACAUAUUAUUCUUUUAGUUCUAAGCCAUAUUUUAAGAUAUGUGAGAACAAAUAAAUUGUGCAUGAACAUUUCCCAUCAAGUGGCAGCUUCAAAAAUUAAUAUCUGGCAACUAAUUUUCUCUCUCUUCUCCACCAGUUUUCAUUAUGUAACUUGUUUAAUGAAGAUCCUAAAGCUUAAAAAAUACAUAUCAUUUUCCAAUAAAUAGGUCAGUUUUAUCAAAGCCUUUUUGAAACACUCAAGCGUAGAAUAUUCACUACAUUUACUUGUAUGACUAUGAAUGACAUUAACACACUGAAAAUCUUUAAGUUCCUUAAAGAAGUUUUUUCUCAUAAAUUCACCCUGGCUGUCUAACCAAAUUACAUUUUCAAGAAAGUAUGUCCUCUGAAAUUGCUUAUAGUAUGUACCUCACACACAAAGUUACCUAUCUUAGUUACUCUGGUUGCCAGCAGAGUGAUUCACUUUCAAUAACAGUAUUUUGUUUGUAAUUUUCUAGGAACUACAGCCCUUUACUCAUCAAGCAACAGUAAACCAAAACUGCCAACAUUGUUUACCAUGUUGAAAAAUUAAAAUUAUCUUCAUGAAUAGUGCUCAAAUGCUGGCACAUGGCUAAAUGAAUCAUCUUUGUCUUAAAGCAAAAAGGUGACAAAGCCUAUGAGGACUCUGGAUUACUUGGAAUAAAGAAAGACAAGGAAGAGAAAGCUAAAUAACAGACUGAAAAGAGGAGAAAAACUAACCUAAAAUUCCACCGAUGGAUUGCAUCAUAUACUCACCAAUACAAGAUGGAAUUUGGAGGAAGGACGGGGAAUUUGCCUGUGCUCUAGACCCUGCACUGAAUAGGAGGCUGCCUGCCACUGGAGGAGAUGUCUGGGGCCUGCCUAAGACCAAGAUGAGAGCUGGAGAGCUGAGUAACCCUCCCUGACCCACUGUGAGCCUUGCAUCUAAUAGCAGGCUUAAGACUGGCUACUACACCACUCUUUCUGAUGCUGAAGAUAAAAAGGACUAUGUUUCACUCUGUUUUAAAGUUAAUUUGUGCUUAUUAAGAUCUCAGAUUAUUCCACAAACAACUGGUAUUUGUAUCAACUGGUAACAAUUGUAAGUGACCGUAAGACUUUGAAAUACUCUGAAACAUUGCAGACCUCACUUUAUGUAAGAAGGCUCUUUGAACAUUUUUAAAGUAGCACUUUUUAUACAGAGACUUAAAUAAAACCCAGUGCUAUCACUUACUGUACCAUAAUGAAACAAAAAUCGGGUGGAACUUGCCCAUCACAGAACCUAACUUGAGAGAAUCUGGUAUCUUUACAAUCUUGUAGUCAGUGCAUUUAUAGACUAUAAUAUUAUUAAACAACUUCUUAAUGUUACUCUUUGAAUCAUCAGAAGACUUACAACUUUCAUCUUGAUUACAAUUCCAAUUUUCCCUUUCACCUAUUGUGUUUUAUAAGAUAAGAUAGGUGAGUGGAAUGCGCUCAUUUGUCAUUUGUUCUCUCUACGUAACACAGUCUCCUCUUACUGCGGUUACACUUCCAAAGUGAAUUAUUUGUCAGCUUCAGUAAGCAUUUCCUUUCUAAUUGCCUAACUCAGUAGAGAUGUUGUAACUUAAGAGACGGGUGUGGUCUGGAGUGUUGAUCCUCAACAUAGCAUGGUCCAGUGGUCACUGUAUGUGAAGUGAGCCCUUCAGAGCCAUGGGAGUCCAGAUGAAUCCGAGAUUCCAAAUCAUAAUAUAACUUUGAAGCUCCAGACUCUGGCAUCCCUGGAAUUGAAAUUUAGGAAUUUAACUUCUUUUUAGAAGUUUUAUAAUGAACUUCUUCAGUCUUUUUACUAUAUAAAACCCUGACAUAAUGUAUUCCUGAUAGGCCACAUGCAAAUCUGUGGGCCACACACAAGUUCGUCAAUACUCUAAACUCUCUCUAGUACAAGGAACAGUCUUGGGGUUGGUUUCUAGAUUCUAUUCUUAUAAUUUAAGGACUUACCACAUUUUAAGAGGUUGAAGUCCUUUGACUUCUUAUCAUAGUCAUACUCAAAAUGUGAAGAAGCUGCAUGACCUAGUAUUGGAUGGCAUCUCACAAAUGGACCCAGUCUCCUGUUUGUAAUUGCCUGAUGUAAUUCAAAUGAAUUAUUGAGGUUUAACUUUAUUAUCCCCUUCUCAGUAUUAAGAGUAAAAAAAUCAAAGGCUUAUACAUCCUAAAGGUGUUUUCCCAGCUGGGGCACUUUAUUUGGAUCAAUCUUAGGUGAGAAUUAAAGGAAGUAAAGGUGUAUAGAUCAGCUAAAUACAUAGAGGCAGGCAUUCAGGUAUCUGAAACAGGUUUUAGAGCUAAUAAAAAUGUAUCCUCAAAGAGGUAUACUUAAAAUGUAAGUCCAUUUUACCUAAAUAUCAGAAAAAAUAUUCCAUUGGCAAAAUGUUUUGCAAUGGGUAUAGUGCUUCUCCAUUACACUGAUAAAAAAAAAUGGGAGUCCUUCAAUUCUUGACAUUUAAAUCUAUUCUGAACCUGGCCUGGAAUAACUCUGAGGGGAAUAAUCUUGCAGGUGAGUAGACUAGAAAACACAAUAAAUAAGUCUUUUCCAUCACCAUAUUCUAUGGCCCCAUGAUUCAGUGAAUCUCAAGACUAAGUGUACUUAGGGUUUGCACUUUAGAUAAUACAGAAUUAUCAUUUCUACUGAAAUGUUUUACAUUUCCUUCCCUCCUAAUUUUGUUUCAGAGCCAAAGACAUCCACAUGAAAAUCAUGGUAUAUUGUGUUUAGUAAUUCAUCCAUCCUAUGGUGCCCUGCUUACUUGAAGUCACAUAAUCCCUCAUGUGUGCUCUGGCACCAGACAAAUUGUUUAUGUGAUAAACCACAGGACUGUCCUGUAGCUUCUGGGGUCUGGUGGAUAUAUGUCAGAAUUAAAACUUUUAUUCAGAGAAUGGUUCUUAGA